rnacentral:rRNA from 1 species
UACGAAGGGUGCAAGCGUUAAUCGGAAUUACUGGGCGUAAAGCGUGCGUAGGUGGUUGUUUAAGUCUGUCGUGAAAGCCCUGGGCUCAACCUGGGAAUGGCGAUGGAUACUGGGCGACUAGAGUGUGGUAGAGGAUGGCGGAAUUCCCGGUGUAGCGGUGAAAUGCGUAGAGAUCGGGAGGAACAUCUGUGGCGAAGGCGGCCAUCUGGACCAACACUGACACUGAGGCACGAAAGCGUGGGGAGCAAACAGG